rnacentral:rRNA from 1 species
AUUGAACGCUGGCGGCAGGCCUAACACAUGCAAGUCGAGCGGAUGAAGGGAGCUUGCUCCUGGAUUCAGCGGCGGACGGGUGAGUAAUGCCUAGGAAUCUGCCUGGUAGUGGGGGAUAACGUCCGGAAACGGGCGCUAAUACCGCAUACGUCCUGAGGGAGAAAGUGGGGGAUCUUCGGACCUCACGCUAUCAGAUGAGCCUAGGUCGGAUUAGCUAGUUGGUGGGGUAAAGGCCUACCAAGGCGACGAUCCGUAACUGGUCUGAGAGGAUGAUCAGUCACACUGGAACUGAGACACGGUCCAGACUCCUACGGGAGGCACCAGUGGGGAAUAUUGGACAAUGGGCGAAAGCCUGAUCCAGCCAUGCCGCGUAUGUGAAGAAGGUCUUCGGAUUGUAAAGCACUUUAAGUUGGGAGGAAGGGCAGUAAGUUAAUACCUUGCUGUUUUGACGUUACCAACAGAAUAAGCACCGGCUAACUUCGUG